GACGAACCGUGCGAACGUUAUUCGGAAUCACUGGGCUUAAAGCGCGUGUAGGCGGAUGGGGACGUCGGUCGCUGAAAUCCCCCGGCUCAACCGGGGAACGGGCGCCGAAACGCCCCGUCUCGAGGGACGUAGGGGGACCUGGAACUUCCGGUGGAGCGGUGAAAUGCGUUGAGAUCGGAAGGAACGCCCGUGGCGAAAGCGAGGUCCUGGACGUCUUCUGACGCUGAGACGCGAAAGCCAGGGGAGCAAACGGG
rnacentral:rRNA from 1 species